rnacentral:rRNA from 1 species
GAUGAACGCUAGCGGGAGGCCUAACACAUGCAAGCCGAGCGGUAGAGAUCUUUCGGGAUCUUGAGAGCGGCGUACGGGUGCGGAACACGUGUGCAACCUGCCUUUAUCUGGGGGAUAGCCUUUCGAAAGGAAGAUUAAUACCCCAUAAUAUACUGAAUGGCAUCAUUCGGUAUUGAAAACUCCGGUGGAUAGAGAUGGGCACGCGCAAGAUUAGAUAGUUGGUGAGGUAACGGCUCACCAAGUCUGCGAUCUUUAGGGGGCCUGAGAGGGUGAUCCCCCACACUGGUACUGAGACACGGACCAGACUCCUACGGGAGGCAGCAGUGAGGAAUAUUGGACAAUGGGUGAGAGCCUGAUCCAGCCAUCCCGCGUGAAGGACGACGGCCCUAUGGGUUGUAAACUUCUUUUGCAUAGGGAUAAACCUACCCUCGUGAGGGUAGCUGAAGGUACUAUACGAAUAAGCACCGGCUAACUCCGUGCCAGCCGCCGCAGUAAGAC